rnacentral:antisense_RNA from 1 species
AACGAAGCACCGGUGCUGGGGAGCUCUCUGAAUGUCAUCACCAGCAAGAGCAAGAAGUAUUGGCAGCAGCAGGCAGCCAGGAAGGCUGGGAGUUUGCAUGGAAAUCAUGAAGUCUUUCUUGUCUUCCUCUUUUGAAAUAUUUUGGAAGGAGAGUUAAGAAUAGCUCAGAAACUGGUCUCAUUCUUUUUGUGGGAAGAAUGACCAGAAGCAUAAAAGCUAACUCUUCCAGCAAGUGCAAGACACCUCUUUCGAUGUUUGCAGUAAACUUAACAAGAAUGAUUGCUAUCAGUAAAGUCUUGUACCAUGACACCUAAAAGGAAGGAAAUGGUAAAGCAAAGUAAUAACUCAAAGACUGCCACCGAGAGCUUUUGUCUACCUUUAACUCAUUGUGGAACUUGACAUCAUCAGACAGUAAAUCAAGAGGUACUGACAACUGAGACUGAGUGAUGGUCCCUGCCUAGGAUUUGGAAUCUUUGCAUGAAAUAGGGACUCUAGCCACCAGCGACAAAGAAGUCAGGGAGACUGUUGUCUCUAGGAAGCACUUCCAGG